UCGAGUUUUCCUGAACAAGCGUGCGAUUACUAAAAUCCGCUUGACCAAUGCAAGAUCGCAUGUGUACUUGAUUCUACCGCGUAUUCAAACGUCAGGCCUUUGUCGGAGUAAAAUCUCCAGCACGUGCGACGGCGGUGGCGUAUGACAGUGGUGGUAAUGAAGCCGGUCAUCAGCGAUGCUGUUCCUGAUGGUCGGUGGAUCUGGCCAGCGAUCGAGAUUGCUCCAAUUCCACUUUCCCUUCUGCUUCACAGCAUAGUAUCGAUAGACUAGGAUCGUCAUGGCCACCACCAGGGCUAAUCCCGUGCCGGCCGCGGCGCCAAAUAUCGCCGACGAAACCAUGAUCCUUCGCGCGUACUCGUGAUAGUCUCGAUCGAAUAUUUUUUGUUCAACCUGCGACAGAAAUAGCGAAUCGUUGCAGCGCUCCGAAAACGUUUCGAACGAAAUGGAUAUAAAACGACCGACUUUUCAAGAAUAGCUUAAACUCAGAUUUAAGUUCAAACUUUGUUCGCAAACACAUCAGGUAUAGAACAGAGUUAGAACUUAAAUCUAGUUUAAACUAGUAUCGACCCUGGAUAAUGUGAGGUGUGUUGAAAAAGAUUUGUAAGAUAUCUUAUUCUCCCAGUACAGUUUCUACGUCUGAAUGGAGAGAAACGUGUCGAGAAAAUAAAGGAAGAUGAGCUGAGAAUUAAGAAA